UACGGGGGGAGCAAGCGUUGUUCGGAUUUACUGGGCGUAAAGGGCGCGUAGGCGGCCUGCUAAGUCGAACGUGAAAUCCCCGGGCUCAACCCGGGAACUGCGUCCGAUACUGGGAGGCUUGAAUCCGGGAGAGGGAUGUGGAAUUCCAGGUGUAGCGGUGAAAUGACGUAGAUAUCUGGAGGAACACCGGUGGCGAAGGCGGCAUCCUGGACCGGUAUUGACGCUGAGGCGCGAAAAGCCAGGGGGAGCAAACGGGG
rnacentral:rRNA from 1 species